ACAUCACCUUUUAUUUUAAUACCCAACUCCAAUGCCCAAUUUUAAUUAAUAGGUCAAUUUAACUUCGGAGACACCAAAAUGUUAAACAUCACGCAUUAAACAUCUAUAUCUUAAUAAAUCAACUAUCUAGAGAAACCAAACUCAUUUACAAAUAGCAAAUAGCAAAAAAAUAAAACUGAUGCAAACAAAUUACUAAUAAGCCACAAUCCAAAACAGAGGAAGAAAGCAUUAACCCAUAUGAUCGACAAAAAUAGAGCACAAAGAUUAAUAACACAAUAUAAGCAUGGUAUCAAGCAGAAACAAUAGAAGAAAUUAAGAAACAAACCUCAAACCGAUGAACUCUGGACGCAACUCGAAUCGGCACCGGAAAUUCAAAACCAAAUACGACCCUAAACAAACUCCAUAAUUUGAAAACGAAGUCCGGAAUUUAAAGAGAAGAAAUAGAACAUUUUUCUUUGAAUUCAAUCAUGAACUAACUCACAAAAAAAACAGAAACAUUUUCUUGUAUUGAUUCUAUCCAAAGCUCCUCCCCCAAUUUCUAUGACAAUUCUGUCCGUGUUCUCUACUACCCGUCCCCCCAUUUGGACACAAAUAUCUUCUACACAGUCAACCGCAACAAAUACGCUAUCAGUAGUGCAAAGGGAAGCAGUCAUGGUGUUGAUGGCGGAUAACUGGUGGUCGCUUGUGGUGGAGCUACGGUGGUGGUGGCUGGUUAUUUAGGUUGGGGUGAAGGAGAAGAAGAGGGGUCAGCAUAGCGGUGGGUUUGGGUGUGGAUGUGACAGCAGAGGAGUCGCCGGGUUUGGGUAGUUGCUUGGCACUGUGUGGAGACUGGGAUGGUGGUCUGAAGGUGACGACGGGGUGGUCGCUGGUCGACGUCCAGUGAGGCGGGGGUGGUUUUUUUCUGAAGAUGGCGGCGGCGGCUGGAGAGGGGGGGGGGGGGGGUUCUCUACGAUGAAAAAACGGUUGUUGUCUAGAGAAGAAGAUAGGUUUAGAGUUGUUUUAAUUAUCUAGGUCUUGAAAAUGUGUGUUAGGGUGUAUACGAAGAAGUGGAAGUGAGUCUUAGGGUUUGGGCUUAGGAAAUUGAGUUGGACCAUGUCUUUUGGAUUUAAAUUUAGGCUAAGAAGACCAAAUAGUACAAUGUAUCUAUAAAGUGUAAAAAUCACUCUUAAUUAAAAUAAACUAAUAUAAAACUAAAUACUAAAAGUGAAGCUAAUUUUUGUAUUUUUAAAAUGUUAUAAUAAAGUAAAAAGUAGGAAGAAUAGGCCAAAGCCACGGUAAAAUUAAAAUACUAUAAAUAUAAAUAUACUACUUGACUUUAAACUAAAGAUGAAAAUAUUUUUGUAAUUUUUAUAUUUGUGAUAAAAUAAAGUAAAAGAGUAAAACUAUUUAAAAUAGCGAUAUUAAACCUAAACUAAAUAUUUAACACUAAAAUGUGUAAAAUUUUGGAGAGGGUAAAAAAUUACAUGUCUACAAUCACAAUAGACUGUAUAGGACCCUGAACCUAUAGGCAAUAUCAAAAUUGGGGCUAUAGUUAAAGCUGUCUUGAGCUUCUGGAAGCUCUCCUCACACUCUUCCGUCCAUUGGAACAUAGCACCCUUCUGGGUUAGCCUGGUCAUAGGUGCUGCAAUAGAUGAAAAUCCCUCAACAAAUCGACGGUAAUAACCCGCCAAGCCAAGAAAAUUACGAAUCUCUGUAGCCGAGGAUGGUCUGGGCCAACUCUGCACCGCUUCCACCUUCUUCGGAUCCACCUUGAUCCCUUCAUUCGAUACUACGUGACCCAAGAAUGCCACGGAAUCCAACCAAAACUCACAUUUCGAGAACUUCGCAUAUAAAUUCUUUUCUCUCAAAGUCCGAAGCACUAUCCUCAGGUGUUGUUCAUGAUCCUCCCGACUCCGAGAGUAUACCAGAAUGUCAUCAAUAAAUACAAUGACAAACGAGUCAAGAUAUGGUCGGAACACGCUGUGCAUCAAAUGCAUAAAGGCUUCUGGGGCAUUGAUCAGCCCAAAUGAUAUAACAAGGAACUCGUAAUGACCAUACCGAGUCCUGAAAGCAGUCUUCGGGAUAUAUGGCUCCCGAAUCUUCAACUGAUGGUAACCUGAAUGCAAGUCGAUCUUAGAAAACAGUCGAGCACCCUGUAACUAGUCAAACAAAUCAUCAAUACGAGGCAAAGGAUACUGGUUCUUCAUUGUAACUUUGUUCAACUAGCGAUAAUCAAUGCACAUACAAUGGAACCAUCCUUUUUCUUCACAAACAAGACUGGAGCACCCCAAGGUGAUACACUAGGCCGAAUAAAACCCUUAUCAAGUAAUUCCUGUAAUUGAUCCUUCAACUCCUUCAACUUAGGAGGGGCCAUACGAUAAGGAGGAAUAGAAAUGGGCUGAGUGCCCGGCAACAAAUCAAUGCCGAAAUCAAUAUCCCUGUCGGGAGGCAUACCCGAAAGAUCAGCUGGAAACACAUCAGGGAAAUCCCAUACUACUGGGACUGAAUCAACCGUAAGGGUAUUCAUACUGACAUCUCUCUCAUAAGCUAGAUACGCGGCACACCCCUUCUCAAAAAUUCGCUAAGCUUUAAGAAAUGAAAUUACCCCUCCACUCUACUCGCGGUACACCUAGCAUAGCUAGUGUCACGGUUUUGGCAUGACAAUCAAAAAUAGCAUAAUGGGGCGAUAACUAGUCCAUACCCAAGAUAACAUCGAAAUCUACCAUGCUGAGCAAUAAUAAAUCGGCUCUGGUCUAAAACCACUANNNNNNNNNNNNNNNNNNNNNNNNNNNNNNNNNNNNNNNNNNNNNNNNNNNNNNNNNNNNNNNNNNNNNNNNNNNNNNNNNNNNNNNNNNNNNNNNNNNNNNNNNNNNNNNNNNNNNNNNNNNNNNNNNNNNNNNNNNNNNNNNNNNNNNNNNNNNNNNNNNNNNNNNNNNNNNNNNNNNNNNNNNNNNNNNNNNNNNNNNNNNNNNNNNNNNNNNNNNNNNNNNNNNNNNNNNNNNNNNNNNNNNNNNNNNNNNNNNNNNNNNNNNNNNNNNNNNNNNNNNNNNNNNNNNNNNNNNNNNNNNNNNNNNNNNNNNNNNNNNNNNNNNNNNNNNNNNNNNNNNNNNNNNNNNNNNNNNNNNNNNNNNNNNNNNNNNNNNNNNNNNNNNNNNNNNNNNNNNNNNNNNNNNNNNNNNNNNNNNNNNNNNNNNNNNNNNNNNNNNNNNNNNNNNNNNNNNNNNNNNNNNNNNNNNNNNNNNNNNNNNNNNNNNNNNNNNNNNNNNNNNNNNNNNNNNNNNNNNNNNNNNNNNNNNNNNNNNNNNNNNNNNNNNNNNNNNNNNNNNNNNNNNNNNNNNNNNNNNNNNNNNNNNNNNNNNNNNNNNNNNNNNNNNNNNNNNNNNNNNNNNNNNNNNNNNNNNNNNNNNNNNNNNNNNNNNNNNNNNNNNNNNNNNNNNNNNNNNNNNNNNNNNNUGCAGGGCAAAAUAAGAGGACACAUAAGAAUAAGCAGAGCCUGAAUUGAAUAGAACUGAUGCAUCUCUAUGGCAAACCAGGACAAUACCUGUGAUGACAGAAUCGAAGGCGACACCAUCAGUACGGGUAGGAAGGGCAUAGUAUCUGGCCUGGCCUCCCCCUCUAGGGCGACCUCUACCUCCUCGACCUCCACCUCUAGCUGGCUGGGUAGGUGGGGCAGCAACUGGUGCUGUGAUCAUAGCCUAGAAACUCUGUGGAGCAUGCUGUGGCUGAAAAGUCUAUGGAGGUGCACCCCUCCUAAUCCUGGGGCAAUCUCUCACCAUAUGGAGUGUAUUGCCACACUCAAAACAAGCUCUAGGAGGAUGUGGCGGUUGUGACUGGCUCAGGCCAUGUUUGCUGGACCAACCACUGAAAGCACCUCAUUUAGGAGGCGCACUAGAUACUAGAGGUGCAUAAUAGGGCUCUUCAGGUCUAGGAGGAGCUGAAAUACCACUGGCUACUGGAAGAACUAAAUGAACGGGGCGACUCAUAUAACCCGUACCAUGAUGAACUGCAGCUGGGGCACAUGCACCAGAAUAAUGGCCCGACUCCCGAGACCCCUUGGCCUCCCUUUCCUCUCUAUCCCGAGCAUGCAUAUCCUCUACUCUCCUAGCAAUUCACACCACCUGCUGAUAAGAAAUAUCCUUUUCCAACUCCUAGGCCAUGCUAGAUCUGAUGUUGGGAAUAAGCCCCUCAAUGAACCAGCAAACUCUCUCACAAACUGUAGAGAACAAGGCUAGUGCAUGCCUAGCCAAGUUAGUAAAACGGAGAACAUACUCCGAAACAGUCAUAGUACCCUGGUGCAAAUGCUCAAACUCUGCGCGUCAUGCGUCCUUGAGGCUCUAAGGAAUAUACUCCCUCAAAAACAUAACUGAAAACUGGGUCCAUAUACUGGAAGCUGCCUUAGCUGGGCUGUCCAACUCAUAGGUACGCCACCACUGGUAGGCUUCCCCUCGAAGCUGGAAGGCAGUGAAAGAAACCUCACUUGAUCCUGAUAUACCCAUAGUGCGGAGGAUACGAUAGCACUUCUAUAGAAAUCCCAGAGCAUCAUCUAAUGCUAGACUACUGAAUAUAGGAGGCUUGUACUUCUUGAACCUCUCAAGCCUCCGUUGCUCAGCCUCUGAAGCUGUUGCCCUAUCCUCGGGCUGAACUGGGGCUAUAGGUGGUACCGGUAUAACUUUUGGGAUCUGAUCAAUCUGGACCCACUGCUCUGGGGUACAGGCGGCGGGAGUCUGUGCUCCUCUCCCGGCAUGGGAUGUGGCUGCAGCAAGGGGAAUCAACCAUGUCUAAGCUAGAGUGGUGUACAUGCUCACGAACUCUGCAAGGGUCUCCUUAAGAACUGGAAUAGUAGUAGCAGUAAGCGUAUCAGGUGCCUAGGCUCCGGCUGGAGCUGCUGGUGGCUCCUCUGUGGUAGCUCGCGUGGGUGCUCUGGCUGCACCACAUGCGCGUCCUCGGCCUCUACCCCGGCCCCGACCUCUAGCGGCUCUAGUAGGUGGUGCGGGUGCCUGGUCCUCUCCAGUAGUACGUGUCAUCACCAUCUAUGAGAAAAUAGAAGACAAAGGUUUAGAUUUUCGAUAUCAAACAUCUCGCAUGACAAGGAAAUCAAAUGAAGUGAAAUUUUCCUAACAGUUACAUAGCCUCUCGUAGAUAAAUACAAACAUCUCUGUACUGAUCCGCGAGACUCUAAUAAACCAGCUUGUGAUUCAUGACUCCUAUGAACCUAGAGCUCUGAUACCUACUUGUCACAACCCAAGUUCUCCAUCCGUGAACUGCCGUGACGACACAUAGUCUUUAUGACUAGGUAAGCCUAUCAAAUUACGGAAAAAGAAAUUAAAUAUGAAAUUAGCAAGUUGCGAAUAAAACAUAAUAAAAGAGUUUAAAAUGUCGCUCGGCAUAUACAAUACAUACUCUCAAAACUGAAUCAAACUCCCAAAAUCCGGAAUCUCAUGAAAUCGCAAGCCAUAGAAAACUACAUAGCAUUCUAACUCCAGAAUAUCUAAUCAAAAGUAAAUACAAGAAGUCUCAAGCUAAAAGGGAUAAUAGAGAGGGACUUCUAGGUCUGCGGACGAGGCAGAUAUACCUCGAAGUUUCUGAUAUCGCCCGCCUCACUGAUAGAACGGCUGAGCAGAAGAACCUGGAUCUGCACACAAAAAAUAUUUGCAGGAAAUGGAAUGAGUACACCACAACGGUACCCAAUAAGUAUCAACCCUAACCUCGGUCAGGUAGUGACGAGGAAAGUGAGGGCCCUACUGGUUAAAUAUAUAUAUAUAUAUAUAUAUGAAAUGGUAUAGUGUAAUUAAAAUACUAACAGUCGAUAAGGAAUAAAAUCACAGAAAGAAUAUAACCCAGUACACAAAGAUAGCAACAGGGGAUCUCCCAGGAUAUCGCCCCGUAGUCCCAAAUGUAAAUGUGCAGAGGAUCUCUCGGGAUAUCGUCCCGUAGUCCGAAUCAUAAAUGUGUAGAGAAUCUCCCGGAAUACUAAUCCGUAGUCUCAAAGUAAAUAUCCAGUACAUGGGGAUCUCCCAGAAUGUCAUCCCGUGGUCCCAAAUGUAAAUGUGCAGGGGGAUCUCCCGAAAAUACCGAUAUGUAGUCCCAAAGUAACAUGUAGGGGGAUCUCCCGGGAUAUUGUCCCGUAAUACCAAAGUAAACACACAACAGUCUCAAGAAAAAAUCUACAAUUCUAUCCAAGUUCGUACCUAGAAAAUAGAGAUUCCUAUUCUAAACAUGCUGCACAAAAUUCAAGUAAACACUUUAAGCAGAUAGAACAGCUAAGUCACUUAAGCAUGCUUUCCUAAACUAAACAGUAGGCUUUAAAAUACAAGAAAUGUUCAACAAAACGGAAACACAGAUAUUUACUUAAUGAAAAUGGGGUUUUCCAAUAAUUAGCACGUGUACGCACUCGUCACCUCACGUACACGGCACUCAUAUAACAAAAAUACCAAAAUCCUAAGGGGAGUUCCCCCACACAAGGUUAGGCAAACCACUUACCCCGAACCAGCACAAAAUUUAAGUAAACACUUUAAGCAGAUAGAACAGCUAAGCCACUUAAGCAUGCUUUCCUAAACUAAACAGUAGGCUUUNNNNNNNNNNNNNNNNNNNNNNNNNNNNNNNNNNNNNNNNNAGCACAAAAUUUAAGUAAACACUUUAAGCAGAUAGAACAGCUAAGUCACUUAAGCAUGCUUUCCUAAACUAAACAGUAGGCUUUAAAAUACAAGAAAUGUUCAACAAAACAGAAACACGGAUAUUUACUUAAUGAAAAUGGGGUUUUCCAAUAAUUAGCACGUGUACGCACUCGUCACCUCACGUACACGACACUCAUAUAACAACAGUACCAAAACCCUAAGGGGAGUUCCCCCCCACAAGGUUAGGCAAGCCACUUACCUCGAACCAGCUCAAAAUCAAUCCGAAACCACGCUCUUGCCACGAAUAUCCAACUCCGAGUGGCCCAAAUCUAAUCAAAUAAAUUUCAUAAUGUAAAUAUAGCUACAAACAACGAAUUUAGCUAAAGGAAUCGAAGCUAAGGUAAGAAAAUAGAAAAAUACCCAAAAAUCCUCCCCGGGCCCACGUCUCAAAAUCGGGUAAAAAUUAAGGAUUAUGAACACUCAUUCACUCACGAGCACACUCGAACAACAAUCAGCAAAAUCCAACGCCAAAAUCUCACUCAAAACUCGGAUUUUCAAUUGGGAAACUUUUCUCCCAUUUUCAAACUUUUGCCCUCGAUUUCCUUAAUUAGAAGAGGAAAACAAUAAUAGAUUAUAGUAUUAUGAUCAAAAUCAAGUUAGAAUUCAUUACCCAAUGAUUCUCCUUCAAACCCCUUGAAAAAUUGUCUCCCACCGAGCUCUAAUUCGAUUUUUGUGUCGUAAAAUUUCAAACACUCGAUUUUUCUAUAUCUGCCUAGCGAUUACCGCAUCUAUGGUUCAUGGGGUUGCACCUGCGGUCCCGCACCUGCAUCUUGGGCUCCGCAUCUAUAGAAUUUCAUUAAUUCCCUAGGCACCGCACCUGCGCUCCCUUCUCCGCAGAUGCAGUCCGCUUCUGCGGUCCUUGAGCUGCAUCUACGGUCACUGGCCCUUGUGCUCCAAACCACACCUGCGAGCUCUUGCCUCGCUUCUACGGGCCGCACCUACAGGCUCCCCACCGCAGGUACGAAAAUACCCUAAGCAGCCAACUUCAAAAUUUGCCUAAGUCCAAAUUCACUUUCGUUAAGAAUCCGAAACUCACCUGAGGCCUCCGAGACCUCAACAAAACAUGCCAACCAAUCCUAAAAUAUCAUAUGAACUUAAUCCAACACUCGGAUCACAUCAAACAACGCUAAAACCACGAUUCACCCUUCAAUCCAAGCCUAAUGAACUUGAAAUCUCAAGAAUUCUACAACUGAUGUCGAAACCAACCCAUGUCCGAUUGACCCCAAAUUUUGCACACAAGUCAUAUUAAACACUACAGAGCUAUUUCAGAAUCGGAUUCCGACCCCGAUAUCAAAAUUUCACUAUCGAUCUGGAAAUUUUAAAAAUUCAACUUUCGGCAUUUCAAGCCUAAAUAAGUUAUUGACCUCCAAAACACAAUCCGAACAUACCCCUAAGCCCGAAAUCACUCAACAGAGCUAACGGAAUCGACGAAAUUCUAUUCCGAAGCCGUCUUCACACUGUUCCGCCUACGACCCAAAUUCUAAAGCUUACGCUCUCAUUUAGGGACUAAGUGUCUCAAAACACUCCGAAACUCCAAACGAAUUCUCCCGUCAACUCACAAUAGCAGAAAUAAAUACGGAAAAAGUAGUUAAUAGGGGACUGGGAUGUUAAUUCUCAAAACAAUCGGCCGGGUCGUUACAAAGAGGAUUUGGCUGCUUUGACUUAUAAGUGAAACAUCGAGGGGUUGAGACUUUUGCCAAUUUGAGAUGUAUCAACAAUGAUGGUAACCCAAUCUAUGUGAUUAGAGAUCCCAUGAAAUAGGUUCAUAUGGGUAAUAACAAGUCAUUAGUUGAUCAAAUAUGUAUCAUAAAUUAUGUCUCUUCUAGUGGAGUGUGUGUACAUAAUGCAAGACUGCAAGGAAUGUGAGGUUGAGUUAUUAUACUCUUAAUCUGAUAAUUCAUAGCCUAUUGUAGGCGGUAUAUUGUGCUACAAAAUGCACUUGACGGAUGGACCUAUAUGAGUGUGGAGUGGGGUCGCUCCUAUAAAAUUUGUGACAAAAUUUUUAGAGCACUCAUGAAUACCAGGCACGCGUAUAGCCUAUUAGGCAAAACCGCGAUAACAACAGAAAUUGUGGGGGUGUAAUAUAAUGAAUAAGAUCCCUAGCUUAUAACAAGAAAUUUUGGUUCAUAGAGGUUAUCAACUUCACCAAUUAUUCUGUAAGUUGAAUCUUAUUUUAUCUAUUUCUAGUUCAUAGUCUAUAAGACACCAGAUGGAUUUUAUUAUAUCCGAAGCCCAGCAAAUUAUACUCUCUUUCUUUCUUUGGUUACUAUUUAUUUUUUAUAUCCCUUUUGAGAUAUGUAGGGAUUGUUGGAAAAUUAGUGAUAUCUCAAAAGGUAAUGUCCAUCUUGGUUUGGAAAAUCUUUUCUCUUUGAAAUAUUAUUUACAUCUACUUAUUAGUUAGUAAAUUAUUUUAUAUUUAAUAGAGUCAAACUAGCCAUUAUCUAGCCAUUAACUAGCCGUUGGAGCGCGCCUAUAUAAACAUGGUCUUUGGAGAUCUAAAGACACACUUUCUAACAUAACUUUCUGAAUCAUCUUUUUCCUUCUAUAUGUUGGGUUUUUUUCUUGAAUUUUCAGUUAGUUCUGUUCCCAAUUUUAUAACUAGAAGAACUUGUUGAAUCCUGAGGAAUACGCCCAAUUUUAUUCAUUAUUGUGUGGACGAAAUAUCCUUAAGGACAACGUCCUUCAUACGCUUCAAGUUAACUCCUAUUCUCUUAACAAUUUUUCCAACAAAUUAUCCAUUUCAAGUUUGACAAGAGAAAUAGGGAUUUGAGAUUUCUCACGAGAAUUUUGGAACUUUGUGCAUGGUGGUAGGGGAAGUAUCAUGUGAUGAAUUUGAUUAUGUGGCUUGACCGAUAUGCUUUCUAAGACUUUUGAAAUUGUUCUCCUUAACAUCAAGCAUCAUAAAGGAUAAAGGAUGUGUUUGGUAUGAGGAAAAAUAUUUUUUUUUUUUAAAAAAAUCAUGAAAUAAUUAUUUCCUGGUGUUUGGUACGGCGGACAUUAUUUUAGACAAAACAUCUUCCAUCGGAAGGCGGAAAAUAACUUAUAUCACUUAUGGCGGAAGCCAUUUGCCUUAUAAUUAUCAUAACUUUCAUUUUCAUAUUAUUUAUUUUAAGUAAUACUUAGUAAUUUAAUCUCUAGCAUUCAAGAGUUUCAUCAAAAUACGUUUCAAUUUGUUGAUAUCAUUUAUAAGCUUAAAUAUAUAAUCUUUUGAAAAAUGCUUGUCACCUACCAACCAAAAGCCAAAAAUACAUUUCUAAAAAAAUAUUUCUUUUAAAAAAGAUAUUUCUAAAAAAAUAUUUCUUUUAAAAGAGAUAACUGAUGUCAUACUAAAUACACUCAAAAUGUGAUAUACACUUCGGAAUUUGGACUCAAACUAAGUAGGCGUUUGGACAUAAAAACUGUAAUUCUUUAAAAAAAAAAUAGUUUUUGGAGUUAAGUUGCGAUAUGUAUUUGAAAUUUAAAAUUAUGUUUGGACAUGUAUUUCACUUGAAAAAUAUUAUAGUUUUGUGAGUGAAAAAACAAAAAUUUCUGAAAAUUUUGAAAAAAUAAUUUUUUGAAAAACUUAUUUUCGAAAAAUUUCUAAGAAUUUAUAAAAUUUUAUGGACAAACACAUUUUUUUAAAAAAAAAAGUUGAAAUAAAAAAUAGCUAUGCACAAAUGGGACCUAAAUUUACUUCUAUAAUUUUUGAUUUCAAGGUUGAUUUGCGACUGUAUUCCGUUCUAAUGUGAUGUUUCGGCAUAUUAGGGAAUCAAUGUAUAAUUUGUUCAUCAUUAUAUUUAUUCGUUAGCUGAAAAAGCACCUAGUUGAGAUUUUCUUUAACUUUUUUUUUUUUCUAUUUUAUCAUGAGGUAGGAUCGACAUUUUCUUUCUUUAUCAGAUGUCUUCAUAUGGACAAUACUGACAUUCUCAAUAAAUCAUUAAUAAAGAAGAUCAAAGUCACUGGACACACACAUAGGCCGAUGAAUCUUGAAUUCAACCUAUGAGUCAUUAAUUAAACAUUAGAAGUGCUGAUAUCCCAGCGCACCACCCCUACAUAGCUCCAGAUUCUGCCAAGUAUUUCAUCUGAUGUCGAUAUUGGUUGGAUUUCGUGCUGGAAAAGGAAGAAAAAUCAAAAAGCAUCAGUUUGGUUUCUUUUGUUUAAAAUCGUUCUAUUUCGCUUCUUGAAUAGUGGAUCUAUCGAUUUUUUCUAGCUUCACACGAUAGGAGUAAAAUUUACGUAUAUUCUUGAUCACGCCCAACUCUAAUUUUAAAAAGAAUAAGCGAUCGCUAUAAAUAAAAUUUGGUCUAAAAGUCCGGAAUCGAAUCCCACAGAGAACUAAGAUUUUGCUAUAAUGUUCAAUAUCACCAAUAAGUCGAGCUCGAACAAUUCCUAAGUUAUAAAUAUUAAGAUUCUUAUAUCUAACUAAUUAACUAACAAAUUAAAAUAGUAAAUUAGCAACUAAAGAUACUAAGGGUUGGAGACAAGAUUAAGGAGGUCUAGAAUUAUGAUUUCCCCAAAUGUCGGAAUCCUUCCCGCUACGUCUCCUACAAUUUCGUCUAAGUAUUCUUUAUUGAUCAUGAGCACUCGACUUAUCGUAAUUCUCUCUCGAGCAGCUACAAUAUUGUACUAGUCUUAUUCUUUCGAACUACGCUAGCUCGCACUUUUUCACCGCCCACUAUGAUCACGUCAAAGCUUCGUUAUCUCUAAUCUCGCUUUUUAAACCCAUAGUAUUGAUCUCUCAUAUACCUUAGGAGUGACGUUGUUCAACAACCACCUAAAUAUAUAUAUCCUUUCUCAAGCAACACAUACUAAAUAGGCACAGUCAAUAGAUGGUCAUUCAAUCAACUGAAAUAAACACAUAGUUGAACAAGUAGAUAAAUCCAAAGGUUAANNNNNNNNNNNNNNNNNNNNNGUACGUACGACGACUACUAUAUAUAUAUAUGUGUGUGUUAUAUAUAUAUAUAUAUAUAUAUAUAUAUAUAUAUAUAUAUAUAUAGUGACUAACCCUCCUAAGGACCUUAAUACACCACACUUUCAAGCACAUUCUUGUCAUGACCACUUCCACAUUUUGCCAUGACUCUAUACACAAUGAAGCCCUUCUUCAUUAAUCACAUUAAAAUAUAGAUACUCACUAGCCCAAACAAAGAUAUGGGAGGUGUCAUUCACCAUUUUUUUUCUUUUGUAUUUUUUGUAAACACUCUCCUUAUUUUGGUCUUUCCGGCUAGUAAGACGUUUACCCACAAUUGCACCUUGUCGGCCUUUUUAUGGUUCUACUCAAAAGAGACCCAAUCUCUUUCUUUACUUCCAUCCACUUAAGUGAUUUCGUAGGUAAAGGAUGAAUAAGAUACAAUUUAGAACAAAAUAGGGGUUGGUUUGUAACAUGGGUGCCAAAGAAAAAGAUCUAUAGGCUCAAAAGGGCUGACUACAGAUAAUGUUAUCACUGGUAGGCAAAUAGGAUCAAGGGUCAAUCAAAGAAAUGCCUAUAUCAUUUCCUCAACUCACAAGACUUAAUUAUUUCACUUCGACUCACACACGGGGCAAGUUCUAGACUAACAAGGGAUGGCAUAAAGUACAACUAAAAUAUCACCUCACACAAUGCACAUGACUUACUCAGGACAACUCAGACCAGACUCUCAAGUUAAAGCAACUAGCACAGUCAUCAUAUAAUCCAAACAUUAGAAAGUAACAAUAGGAGUCAACAGAUGAGCCCAAACGUCAAAAUACAGUCACAUACAUUCUCAAGGCAUAUAAUCACAAGAAUCAAGAAGAAAGUAUUCAACACAAAUGCUCCACCUCUAAGCUCCGAUAUAAACCAUGUCAAUAAUAUAGACACUCAAGUUCUUCCCCUUUCCAUUAUCAGUUGAAAAAAAGAAACAAAAAAUAUUUUUGUAUUUUUCUUUAGACUUUAAACCCUCAAGAAAACUAUUUAGGAAGUCCUUCGUAGGGAAAAGUCCAAACCUUUUUUUUCCCGAAAAUUUUACCUACAAAAGAAAAAACUACUACCCGGUUCAAAGAGUUAUCUCUUAAAAAAGAACCGUGGCCAUAAGAAAAACCGAGAAGGAUUAUUUCUAACUAAAUUUUUCUUUUGAUUUUUUUCCAACACAAAUAAAAUAAUACAACUAAAAUAACAUAGGAAAUCACCCAAAAGGUCUCUUCACCCUACACUUAAAAUUAUGCAUUGUCCCCAAUGCACACCAAUAAAUACAAGAGGGUAAAAGAAACUCCCUGGUAGGCCAAAGGCCGAAGCAUUAGCAACUCAUGGGAUACGCAGACUUCUCCUGGACUUAGUUAUUUGUACAGGCACCCCACACCUUGUUCUAACCAUCUCGUUUGAUUUUGUUUCCUUCCAAUGGCUUUGCUUCCUGUGCUCCUAGAAAAUUAGAAAUGACACUACAGAAAUGAUACAAUACAAAAUUAAAUUAAAAACUAUAAAUAAAAGAAAGCAAUAAAGAUGGGUUGCCUCCCAACAAGCGCCUAAUUUAACGUCGUGGCACGACGCGAAUCACUUUUUGUCUCCAUCUCGAGCUUAUGAAUUGAACCUCAAGUUUUGCUUCAAGCUUAUGAUUAUGCUCUUGGGGUGGUACAAAUUCUUGCGAGCCAAAAAUUAGAUAAAGUUUUAUGCACUUUUUGGCUCUCAACCAAGGAGUGUCACCUUGCCUAAACGACCUUGAAAAUUUCAAAAUAUAAGGCUCAUCUACCUCUUCCCUGGACUCCUUUUUAUGCUCGUAAGGAUCCAUUCGCCUUUCACCAUCCGAACAUAAUAUAGAGAAGUGUUUGGAAUGAGGUCCAACGCGCUCAAAUACAUGAACUUCAAGAUUUUUGACCUCCUCAACACCAAUCACACUAGAGUCAACUAAAUUUGUAUCUUCAAUGUCCUUGGCUGACUCUAGUGUUACUUCAUCAAUAUCAGCAUCCUUAAAUUCUAGUUGGAUAGAUUAUUGUUGUUCUACUCUAACCUUCUCCACUAGCACCUCAACUUCAGUAUUUAAUUCAUGCUCUUCUUGACUAUUAUCCCCAAUAUUGGCAUGUUGAGCAUUAAAGCUUCAACUAGUUGGCCCACUUGUGCCUCCAGGUUGCGAAUAAUAACAUCUUGUCUUUGUAUGUGUAAUUGUUCCUCAUUAUUUUGUUCCACAAGGCACCUUAGCAUAUCCUUGAUCUCUUUUAGGUCAUCAUCCAUGGGUUCUUUGUUCCUAUUAACUUCACAAGAAAAGGUAGAACUAUCAUAGUAAGGGAUUGGGGGAGGAUAAGAAAUAUAAGCACAACCAUGAAAGUGACCCUCUUGACCACCACACAUCUCACACACAUUCUACAUAUAAAAUUGAGUUGGUGCAAUAACUCGCUCUCGAAAAUAUUUUGAUAAUUUUGCCAUGGAUGAUUUUAUCCACAAUAUGCAUAAGGAAGAUUAAAAGUAGAAUUACCAACAUCAAAACUCUCAUAAUUCCAAGAUGCCAUGUUUUUAAAAUCAACAAGUAAAAAAAAAUUAAAACAAAUAAAAUACAAAAAAUAAAAAUAAAAGUUCAAACUUAAAACCUAGCAAUAUGUACACCUACAACUACACCGUUAGUUCCCCGGCAACGACGCCAAAAUUUGAUCACGACCAACUCUAGUCCUAAAAAGGAUAGGUGGUCGCUGCAAAUAUAAUCCGGUCUUUAAGUCCGGAGUCGAAUCCCACAGAGAACUAAGGUUUUGCUAUAAAUGUUCAAUAUCACCAAUAAGCCAAGCUCGAAACAAUUUCUAAGAUAUAAAUAUUAAGAUUCUUAUAUAUAACUAAUAAACUAACAAAUUAAAAUAGUAAAUUAGAAACUAAAGAUACUAAGGGUUGGAGACAAGAUGUGAUGACUCAAAGGGGUCAUCUCGUGUUUUAGAACCCAAUCUGGGGUUCUGAGGCCUUCAAAACCUCAUCUUACUUCUACUCAAUUUGCGCACACAGUCCGGGCGCGUUUUCGGAAAGCCCUUAUAUGAAUUUUUUUAGAAAAUAAUAAAUUUUUGCCUUUAAAAGUGAUUUUUAGUUGACUUUGGUCAAUAUUUUGAGUGAACGGACCCGGACCCAUGUUUUGACGGUCCCGGAGGGUCCGUAGUAAAAUAUGGGACUUGGUCGUAAGCUCGAAAUCGAAUUCCGAGGUCCCUAGCCCGAGAAAUGAAUUUUUGACGAAAAUUGUUAAACUGACAUUAUAAUGAUUUAAAGAAAUUGAUUAAUGUAUGAUCUCGUUGGUAUCGGGUAUUUUAGUUUCGGAGCCCGAUACAGGUCUAAUAUGAUAUUGAAGUCAUGUCUGUGAAAUUUGGUGAAAAUCAGAGUUUAUUUGACGUGAUUCAGACCUUUAGUUGAUAAAAUAGAAGUGUUGAAACUAUCUUGAAAAUUUCAUGAGUUUUUGCGUGGAAUCCGUAGUUCUAGGUGCUAUUUUGGCGAUUUGAUCAUCGAGCAAGUUCAUAUAAUGUGUUAAGACUUGUGUGCAUGUUUGGUUUGGAAUCCCGAGGACUCGGGUGAGUUUCAUAUAGGCUAUGAAAUGUCUAGACUUAAGAAAAGACCUGGUGUUGGAUAGUUGCGGAUAUUGCAGGUCUCAGCUCUUAGGAGUGCGACUGCAGAGUGAAAUUCAUGGACUGCGGUAGAAGAAUGCCUCCGGGUUGAAACUUCGCGGACCGCGGGUUUAAGAACGCAGCCGCGGUGGGGGCUCCGCGGACGAGGUAGGGUAAGGCUCAAUUUUGCGGCCACCCCCAUAAUUUUGCGGACCGCAGUGGAGGUUCGCGGUUGCGCCCGAAAAUUUGCGGACCGCGUUGUGAGGAACCGGGGGUGCUAUAUAAAUGGGACUUUUCAUCCAUUUUUCACUUUUUCAAAACCCUAAACAUAAGAGGCGAUUUUCCAAACACGUCUUCUUCCCCAAAUCAUAAGUAAGUGAUUCUUAACUCAUUUCUUUCACUCUUUUACUUCUUUUUACAAGAUUUCAUCCUAGAAUCUAGGGUUUUCAUGGUGAAAUUGGAGAUUUUUGGGUAGAACUUAGGAAUUUCGAAGUUUGAGAAUUGAGACCUCAAAUUGAGGUCGAAUUCCAAAAUCAAUUGUAUAUCUAGGCUCAGGGGUAAAUCGGUAAUUGGGUUUUGGUCCAAAUUUACUGUUUUGACCAAGCAAGCCCGGGGUCGGUUUUUGACUUUUUGGGAAAAAUGUUGGGAAAUCUAUAAUUAUGCAUUAGAAUUGAUUUCUUUAGCAAUAAUUGAUGUUACUCAGUUAAUUAUGACUAGAUACGAGUGGUUCGGAGGUGGAAACUAAGGAAAAAAACGGUGUUUGAGACUUGAGUUCGGCCGUUGAAUCAAGGUAAAUGUCGUGGCUAACCUUAGCUUGAGGGAAUAGGUAUAGUGUGAUUAUUUACUACAUGUUUUGUUGUUGAAUAUGAUGUAUAGGUGAGGUGACGAGCACCUAUGCAUUGUGGUCGAGUCAUAGCAUGCUAGUGAAAUUUCAUUCUUGCAAAUUUUGUAGCCUUAAAUCUUAUUAUCCAUGCUUAUUGUUGUCACUGCAAAUGUGGGGAGACUUAUAUAUGGUUCCACCGAGGUUGAUAAUUUUAGAAUAUUGAUUCAAGGUCGAAAUGUCAAAUUGUGAAAUUAAUCAUUGAUGAAAUACUGGUCUCUUUGUGAUACUUCUCUCUAUCCGUUGUUAAAUUUGUGAUUUGUGAGGAGUGUAAAGCACGUAGGGUGAUGUCGUGCAUGAUUUAUUUAUAUCGUGAGGAAGAGUGUUAAUGCACGAAGGGUGAUGUCGCGCUAUGAUAUGAGAGCGAUAAAGCACGAAGGGUGAUGCGAUGUAUAUUAUGUGAGGUUUAAUGCACGAAGGGUGAUGUUGUGCCGUUCUAUUUAUAUAUUGGUGAGGUUGAGAGUAAAAGCACGAAGGGUGAUGUCGUGCAGUUUUCCUUUGUUGUCUAAAUUGCUUAAUUUAUUUGAGGAUUUCUUUUUAAAAUUAUGCCUUUAUAUUACUCUCUUACUCUUUAUAUUAUGAUUCCCCGUUGCAUGUCCCCUUCCUAUUAUUUCUGUUUUAUUCCUUUGUUUAUCGUUAUUGCCAUUAGCAUGAUUAUACAGUUCAGGUUUGUGUGGUGUCUUGUCCUAGCCUCGACAUUUACUAGUACAUGGGGUCGGUUGUACUGAUACUGCACUAUGCACUUUCUGUGCAGAUUUCGGUACCGAACCUCGUUGAUCAGGGUUGGGUUGCUGCCUUCAGUCCAUCAGGAGACCCAAGGAAGAUCUACCGGCAUUCGCAAAGCCUGGAGUCCCCUUCCAUUUAUCUUAGUUUCCCUGUUUUCUUUCAUUUCGAGAACAAAUGUAUUUUCUUUAAACCGAUAUUUGUAGUAGCUCUUAGAAGUUCGGGGAUUGUGACACCAGAUUUUGGGUAGUUGUGUAAUAGUGUCUAGUCUAUUAUAAAUUUCUGCACUUUUUAUUUUGUUCUGGUUUAGAUUAUUAUUAUUUACUGUUUUGAAUAGUGAUUAGCGUGUUAGAUCUUUAUCUGUUGGCUUGCCUAGCAUUCUAAGAGUUAGGCGCCAUCACGAUCCCGAGGGUGGGAAAUCCAGGUCGCGAUAAGUUGGUAUCAGAGCACUAGGUUGCCUAGGUCUCACAAUUUACGAACAAGCUAGGUAGAGUCUGAGGGAUCGGUACGGAGACGUAUGUGCUUAUCCCCUAGAGGCUACAGAGUUUAGGAACAAUUUCACUUCUAUUCUUCUCUAUCGUGUGACUUGAUUUCUCAAUGCUAAUUUGACUUUCUACUCUUGUUCUUUCAUAUAUGGUGAGAACACGUAUCGCUUCAUCAACUGAUCAGCAGCCCAAGCCCCCAAUGGCAGCUCCUACGAGGGGCAGAGGACGAGGUCGAGGUCGUGCCAGUGGCCGAGGCUGGGGCAGGACUCGGCGUAGAGCUCGAGCACCAGCACCAGCAGCGGAGCCUCUAGUAGAGUUUGAGGAGGAGGCUCCAGCCCAGGCAGUUCCAGCAGGACCAUCUCAGAUCUCGGGGGGGGGGGGGGGGGGUUUCAUAGCCACCCUAGUACUUCAGGAUUCUUUGGUCCGUAUAGUAGGCCUGAUGAACAGUGUAUCUCAGACCGACACAUUCCCUGUAGCACCAGCCGUCCCUCAGGUUGGGGGAGGAGCACAGACUCCCUCUACCCACACUCUGGAGAAGAUGGCUCCUCAAUUUCAAACUCCGGCAGCUCAGCCAGUUGGAGUAGUCGAGCCAGCUAUUGUGGCACAGGCCGCUGGUGGAUCAGUCAUGUCUUCUAAGGACUUGUUGAGGUUGGACAAGUUCACCAAGCUUUUCCCGGUUCAUUACAGUGGGGCAACUUCUGAGGACCCACAGGAUUAUCUUGACCGCUGCCAUGAGGUGUUGCAGAACAUGGGGAUAGUGGAGACCAAUGGGGUUAACUUUGCUAUAUUCCAGAUGGUAGGGUCCGCCAAGAGAUAGUGGAAUGAUUUUGUGUUGACUAGACCAACUGGGUCGCCUGCCUUGACUUGGGACCAAUUCUCUUAGCUAUUUCUCAAGAAGUUCCUUCCUGUUACUGAGAGAGAAGACUAUCGCAGGCAGUUCGAGCAUCUUCAGUAGGGUUAUAUGACUGUCACUCAGUACGAGACUAGGUUUGUUGAUUUGGCCAGUCAUGUUUUUCUUAUACUUCCUACCGAGAGAGAGAGUGAGGAGGUUUAUUGAGGGACUCGCUCAGCCUAUCAGAUUGCAGAUGGCUAAGGAGACAGGGAGCGAGAUUUCUUUUCAGGAUGCGACCAAUAUGGCCAGGUGAUUUGAGGCGGUUUUAUCUUAGGGGAGUGGUCAGGGGACUGACAAGAUGCCUCAUCAUUCUGGUAGGUUCAGUGGUUCUUCGUUUGGAGGCAGGGAUUCUUUUGGUAGAGGUCAUCCUCCCAAGCCAUUUCAUUCAGCACUUCAGGCUUCUCACCAUGCUUCAGGUGGCCGUAGCUCCCAUAUGUAGUAUUCUGAUCAGCGACCCUAUAGUGCACCACUAGCUCCUAUCAGUGCACCUCCGCUCCAGAGUUUUCAGAGUGGUUAUCCAGGUCGUCAAGGUCCGCAGUCCCAGCAGCCGAGGUCUUGUUAUACUUAUGGCGAUCCGAGGCACAUUGCCAAGUAUUUCCCUCGAGCAUCGAGUAGUUCUCAGCAUCAGGGUUCUCGUGCCAUGGUUCCGGCACCGGGGGUUUCACCGCCCGCCCAUCCAGGUAGAGGUAGGGGUUGGACAGCUAGAGAUUGAGGUUGAGAUGUUAGAGGUGGAGGUCAGGCCACUAGAGGUGGAGGCUAGCUAGUAGGAGGCCAUCCCAGGGAUGUAGCUUAGAGUGGUGGGGCCCAACCCUGAUGUUAUGCUUUCCCCACCAGGCCUGAGGUUCAGUCAUGGAAUGUUGUUAUCACAGGUUGUGACAACCCGGCCGGUCAUCUUAAGAAUUAACGUCCCAAUCAAUUAUUAGCUACUUUCCUUAUGUUUAUUUCUGCUAUUUUGAUUUGCCGGGAUGUUCGGGUUUGAGUUUCGGAGAGUUUUGGGACACUUAGUCCCUAAAUGAGAGCUUAAGUGUUGAAAAUUUUACCGUAGUCGGAACAGUAUGAAGACGAGAUCGGAAUGCAAAUCUGAUGGUUCCGUUAGCUCCGUUGGGUGUUUUCGGGCUUAGCGGCGUGUUCGGAUUGUGUUUUGGAGGUCCAUAGCUAAUUUAGGCUUGAAAUGCCGAAAGUCGAAUUUUGAAGUUUCCGGUUCGAUAGUGAGAUUUUGAUUCAAGGGCCGGAAUGGAGUUCCGGAAAUUGAAGUAGCUCCGUAGUGUUGAAUGUGAUGUGUAUGCAAAGUUUCAGGUCAUUCGGAGGAGGUUUGAUAGACUUUUUGAUCGAAAGCGUAUUUUUAGAGUUUUGGAGUUCUUAGGCUUGAAUUCGCGGUUGAUUCAUAGUUUCGAUGUUGUUUUAGGUGUUUUGAGGAUUGGUAUAAGUUUGGGCAGUGGUAUUUAGACUUGUUGGUGCCUUUGGUUGAGGUCUCAGGGGCCUCGGGAUGGUUUCGGAAGAAUUUGGAACUUGUUUUAUCAGUUUCAGCUGCUGGUUUCCUAUCAUAACUGCACCUGCGAGUGUGGGACCGCAGGUGCGGCACCGCAGAAGUGGCUAUGUGACCGCGGGAGCGAUAUUUGGCCCAAGCUCUAGGAUUCACAGGUGCGGCUGGGUUUUCGCAGAUGCGGCCAAGCGACCGCAGAUGCAGACCCAGCCCGUUAAAUGACUUUUCGCACUUGUGAUGCAUUCUUCUGCAAGUGCGGGACCGCAAUUGCGCUCCCUUGACCACAUAUGCGGUAAUCACUGGGCAGAAAUAUGAAAUUUCGAGGGUUUGGUUCAGAACUUGGAAAAAUCAAAUUGGAGCUUGGAAGAGGGUGAUUUUUGGAGGAAAUUUAAGAGGAAAUCAUUGGGUAAUAAUUUUUUAACCCUUUCUAGUUAUAUUCCAUCAAUCUAUACUUAGUUUCAUCAUUUAAUUUCGGAUGGGAGAUAAAAAUUGGGAGAAAGUUCUUAGGCCUACAAUUUGAAUUUUGAUUGGGAAAUUGACCUUAGAUUUGGAUAAUUUUGGUAUGCAUGAACUCGUGAGAGUAUGAGGAUUCUAAAAAUAUAAAUGUUACCCGAUUUCGAUACGUGGGUCCGAGGGGAAUUUUUGUCAUUUUACCUAAUUUUGCGUAUUAGCUUAGAAUUUAAUUGUAGAGUCAGUUACUUGAAGUGUUAUUUACAUUAUGCAAUUGGAUUGAAUAGAUUUGGGCCAUUUGGAGUCGAGUACUCGUGGUAAGAACGUGGUUUCGAGUUGAUUUUGAGCCGGUUCGAGGUAAGUGGCUUGCCUACCUUGUGUGUGCGACCUUNNNNNNNNNNNNNNNNNNNNNNNNNNNNNNNNNNNNNNNNNNNNNNNNNNNNNNNNNNNNNNNNNNNNNNNNNNNNNNNNNNNNNNNNNNNNNNNNNNNNNNNNNNNNNNNNNNNNNNNNNNNNNNNNNNNNNNNNNNNNNNNNNNNNNNNNNNNNNNNNNNNNNNNNNNNNNNNNNNNNNNNNNNNNNNNNNNNNNNNNNNNNNNNNNNNNNNNNNNNNNNNNNNNNNNNNNNNNNNNNNNNNNNNNNNNNNNNNNNNNNNNNNNNNNNNNNNNNNNNNNNNNNNNNNNNNNNNNNNNNNNNNNNNNNNNNNNNNNNNNNNNNNNNNNNNNNNNAUCCGGUUUUCAUUAAGUAAUUACUAGUAUGUUUCUUUUCUUGUUUAUAUUACCUGCAUUUAAAGCAUGUUGUUAGCUUAGGAAAGCAUGUCUAAGUGUUUUAAUUGCCUUAUUUGCUCAAACUGCUUUACCUGAAUUCCGUGCAACAUGCUAUGCUAGAAUUACUUGUUUGCCUUGUUAUGAAAUUGACAUUUCUGAAUAUUUUCUUGAUGCUGCUGUGUAAUUACAUUUGGGACUACGGAUGUGGGAUUUCGGUAGCUCCCCUUGUCUGUUUAUUUGGGACUACGGAUGUGGGAUUCCAUUAGAUCCCCAUGCACAGUUAUAUGGAACUACGGGACUACACCCGGUAGAUUCCCCCAGUACUGGGUAUUUACAUUUGGGACUACGGAACGGGAUUCUGGUAGAUCCCCGCGCACUAUGAGUUGGACUAUGGGAUGAGAUCCCGGGAGAUCCAUUGGAUAUGUAUAUUUGGGACUACUGAGUACCGCUGUGGUGUACUCAUGCCCUUUCUUCGCAUGUUUUCAUGUGCAGAUCCAGGUACUUUGACUCAGUCCUAUCACCCUUGAGGCGAUGCGACUGCUCUAGAUAAUUUGAGGUAUAUCUGUUACGUCCGUAGACCGAGAAGUCCCUUUCCAUUCUUUCUUGUAGUGAUAGCCCUUCUAUUUUCUUCUGUUGAUGUAGACAUUCCGGAGCUAGAGCUUUUUUAUUAUAUUCGUAGCUUGUGAUUCAUGGGUUUCCAGGUUUUGGGAAAAAUGUAUUGGUUUUAAGAGUUAAUAUUGUGUAUGCCGAGUGACACUUUUAAACGCUAUUUUAUUACUCCAUUCCUAUUUUAAAUUGUUUUCUUCCGCAAAUUUGGUUUAUCUUCCGCAUUUUAGGCUUACCUAGUCGUAGAGACUAGGUGUCGUCACGAUGGUUCACGGAGGGAGAACCUGGGUCGUGACAAGUUGGUAUUAGAGCUCUAGGUUCAUAAAAGUCAUGAAUCACAAGCCGGUUUAUUAGAGUCUCGCUUAUCAGUACGGAGACGUCUGUACUUAUCUAUGAGAGGCUAUGUAAUAAUUAGGAAAAUUUUCACUUCAUUUUAUUUCCUUGUCGUGCGAGAUUUUAUGUCAUAAUUCUAAACUUCUAUCUUCUAUUCUAUCACUGAUGGUGAGGACACGCGCUACCCGAGAUGAUCAGGCACCCGCGUUCCCUACUACAGCCGUCAGAGGCCGGGGCCGGGGUAGAGGCUGAGGACGCGCACGUGGUGCAGCCAGAGCACCUGCACGAGCGGGCACCGAGGUACCACCAGUAGUUUUAGCCGAAGUCCAGGCACCUGAUAUGCCUACUGCUACUACUACUCUAGCACUUCAGGAGACUUUGGCACAGUUCGUGAGCAUGUACACCACUUUGGCUUAGGCAUGGUUGCUUCCCAUUGCUGCAGCUACGUCUUAGGCCGGGGGAGGAGCACAGACUCCCGCCUCCCGUACUCCUAAGCAGCGAGUGCAUGUUGAGCAGGUCCCUGAGAUUAUUGCUGUACAGCGUGCAGUUCGAGAUCAUCUCGAGGACAAUGAUGCAUGGCGCGUAGAGUUUGAGCAUUUACGCAAAGGUGCUAUGACUGUCUUAGAGUAUGUUGUCCGUUACACUAGUUUGGCUAGACAUGCACCAGCCUUGUUUUCUACUAUUCGUGAGAGGGUUCGCUGGUUUAUUGAGGGCCUUAUUCCCAACAUCAGGUCUAGCAUGGCUCGUGAGUUGGAGAUGGAUAUUUCUUAUCAGCAGGUGGUGAGCAUUGCUAGGAGGAUUGAGGGUAUGGAUGCUAGGGAGAGAGAGGAGAGGACGACCAAGAUGUCUCGAGAGUCUGGCCAUUAUUCUGGUGCUCGUGCCUCAGCUGCAGGACGUCAUGGUAGUGGUUAUAUGAAUCGCCCUGUUCAUUCAGCUCUUCUAGCAACCAAUGGUAUUCUAGCUCCUCCUAGACCUCGGGAGCCUUAUUAUGCACCUAUGGGUUCUAGCGCGCCUCCUAAGCUGGGUGCUUUUAGAGGUCAGUCCAGUAAACCUGGCCCGAGCCAGUCACAGUUGCCACAUCCUCCCAGAGCUUGUUUUGAGUGUGGUGACACAUGCCAUAUGGUAAGGGAUUACCCCAUACUUGGGAGGGGUGCACCUCCACAGACUUCUCAGCCACAAUGUGUCCCGCAGAGUUCUCAGGCUAUGAUUACAGCUCCAGUUUCUACCCCACCUGCUCAGCCAGCUAGAGGUGGAGGUCAGGGAGGUAGAGGUCUCCCUAGAGGGAGAGGCCAGGCCAGAUACUAUGCCCUUCCUGCCCGUACCGAGGUUGUUGCCUCCGAUUUUGUCAUCAAAUGUAUUAUACUGGUUUGUCACAAAGAUGCAUCGGUUCUAUUCGAUCCAGACUCCACUUACUCUUAUCUAUCUUCUUAUUUUGCUCCGCAUUUGGGUGUACCUCGGGAUUCUUUGAGUUCCCCUGUUUAUGUUUCUACUCCUGUGGGAGAUUCUCUUGUUGUGGACCGAAUUUAUCAGUCGUGUUUGGUUGCUCUUAGUGGUUUUGAGACCAAAGCGUAUUUAUUGUUGCUCAUCAUAGUAGAUUUUGAUAUUAUAUUAGGCAUAGACUGGUUGUUGCCCCAUUAUGCUAUUCUUGACUGUCACACCAAAAUUGUGACAGUGGAUAUGCCAGGUGUACCGCUUGUUGAGUGGAGGGGUACUUUAGAUCACACUUCCAGUAGAGUUAUUUCUUUUCUUAAAGCUCAGCGUAUGGUUGAGAAGGGGUGUAACGCAUAUUUAGCUCAUGUGAGAGAUGUCAGUGUUGAUACCCCUUCAGUUGAUUCAGUCACAGUAGUACGGGAUUUUCCCGAUGUGUUUCCAGUUGAUCGUUCGGGCAUGCUGCCUAAUAGAGAUAUUGACUUUGGCAUUGAUCUGUUGUCGGGCACUCAGCCCAUUUCUAUUCCUCCGUAUUGUAUGGCUCCUCCUGAGUUGAAGGAUCAGUUAUAGGAAUUGCUUAAUAAGGGUUUUAUUUGGCCCAGUGUAUCACCUUGGGGGUGCUCCUGUCUUGUUUGUGAAGAAAAGGGAUGGUUCUAUGUGUAUAUGUAUUGAUUAUCGCCAGUUGAACAAGGUUACAGUGAAGAACCAUUAUCCUUUGCCUCGUAUUGAUGAUCUGUUUGACCAGCUUCAGGGCGCACAGGUAUUUUUUAAGAUUGACUUGCACUCAGGUUACCAUCAGUUGAGAUUCGGGAGCCAGAUAUCCCGAAGACUGCUUUCAGGACUUGGUAUGGUCAUUACGAGUUCCUUGUUAUGUCAUUUGGGCUUACCAAUGCCCCAGCAACCUUUAUGCAUUUGAUGCAUAUCUUGACUCGUUCGUCACUGUCUUUAUUGAUGAUAUUCUGAUAUAUUCCCGGAGUCGGGAAGAUUAUGAGCAGCACCUAAGGACAGUGCUCCAGACCUUGCGAGAAAAUAAGUUAUAUGCUAUGUUCUCGAAAUGUGAGUUUUGGUUGGAUUCUGUGGCAUUCUUAGGCCACGUGGUGUCGAGUGAGGGUAUUCAGGUGGAUCUAAAGAAAAUAGAGGUCGUGCAGAGUAGACCUAGACUAUCUUGAGCUACAGAGAUCCACAAAUUUCUUGGCUUGGCGGGUUAUUACCAUCGUUUUGUUGAGGGGUUUUCGUCGAUUGCUGCCCCUAUGACCAAACUGACCCAAAAGGGUGCUCCAUUCAAGUGGACAGAAUAGUGUGAGGCGAUCUUUUAGAAGAUCAAGACAGCUUUGACUACAUCCCAGUUUUGAUAUUGCCUACAGGUUUGGGGUU
rnacentral:lncRNA from 1 species